AGUACUGCAGUGUGCGGCGCAUGGCUGCGAGGGCCUGCCGAGGGGCGGGCGCGAGUCGGAAAGACACCGACCAGGGAAUGGGCGACGAGGCUUGCCUUAAUUCGGAGGAAACCCAGGACUUGAGAGAGCCAUACAAUUUGAAAGACGAAGCACCGUGAAAUGCAGAAAGUUGUGGUUCGGAUAGCUCAGCUGAUUAAUUUCAUGUUGCCACAGUUUGUCAAACAUGGACAAGAUGGCUGGGGUCCUGUGGAGUUCUAGUAAUCUUCUUACGAUAAUAAAGCAACCUUAUGCCAUAUGAUAUGCUAAGGAUGGAGGAAGAUAGAGUCUAGGUGCCUGAUGACAACAUGGAGCUGUCAAGCCCUGCAUUGCCUCCCCCUGGACGUCUCAUUAUGGGAGAAAAUGAAGCAAUUUGUUUAAGCCACA
rnacentral:lncRNA from 1 species